rnacentral:lncRNA from 1 species
UUUAUUUCAUCAUAUUUAAGUAUAAGAAAUAGUCUAUUGAGUUCUCUUUUUAAUGUUGAAAAGUUCGUGUAGUCCCCUAUGAACCACAUAGUGCAGUUUCACCCUAACUUCCUUAUUUUGUGUAGUAUUUCUCUCAAACUUUGAAUAACUAUUUUGAUACAUGUCUCUUUCAUGAUUUGAUCCCCAUUAAGUGAAAUAAAUAUGAUUAUUUGCUUGCCAUUGGAUUGAUCUCCUUGAGUUAUUAUUAUCACCCGUGCCUUAGACAAUGGACUGAAUUAAGUCCUCAAAAGGCUUUUUCUUAGCCCGGACGAAAGGGGUUCGAACUAUGGUUUCCCCAUGUAUGUUUG